rnacentral:tRNA from 1 species
GCCUCUGUAGCUCAGUUGGUUAGAGCCUGUAUCGGAAUAGCAGGGCUGUAGGUUCAAUUCCUGCCAGAGGAC